GAUGAACGCUAGCGAUAGGCUUAACACAUGCAAGUCGAGGGGCAUCACAUGAGUAGCAAUACGAUGGUGGCGACCGGCGCACGGGUGAGUAACACGUAUGCAACCUGCCCAUAACUGGGGAAUAACCCGUCGAAAGGCGGACUAAUACCGCAUAACAAUGAUUGUCUGCAUGGACGAUUAUUUAAAGAUUUAUCGGUUAUGGAUGGGCAUGCGUUCCAUGAGAUAGUUGGUAGGGUAACGGCCUACCAAGUCUACGAUGGAUAGGGGUUCUGAGAGGAAGGUCCCCCACACUGGUACUGAGACACGGACCAGACUCCUACGGGAGGCAGCAGUGAGGAAUAUUGGUCAAUGGUCGAGAGACUGAACCAGCCAAAUCGCGUGAAGGAUGAAGGUAUUGUGUAUUGUAAACUUCUUUUGUCAGGGAAUAAAGUGCAUCACGUGUGAUGUUUUGUAUGUACCUGAAGAAUAAGGAUCGGCUAACUCCGUGCCAGCCGCCGCGGUAACAC
rnacentral:rRNA from 1 species